AUGGAUGACAUACACAUAUACAACAUGUACACCUUGUCUCUUUUGUUAGCCAUGUUUCAGAUUAAGCAACGCCGAGAAUGGCUUUGUUUUCAAGAAGGGGAGGAUGAUGAGGACAUGGCUAGCACAGUUACACCCACAACCCCUGCUACUUUACCUAUUGGACCAAUUAUUAGAGCUCGCGCAUGCCAGUUAAAUUAUCAGGUACCUUCGUUUCUUGGUAAUAUUUCUAAUGUUCAUGAGAAUGUGAUGCUACUUAACUUAGAUAUAUUUGUGUUGGCUACAGUUGAAGCACCUAGCAUGGACAAGAAGAAUGAACACUGGAUCAUGAUCAAGCACUAUGAUGAAUGCACGCGCGAAGGGAACAAGAACGAACUUUAUGAAGGAGAUUUCCACACUUUGAAGCCACCAUGA
rnacentral:rRNA from 1 species